rnacentral:ncRNA from 9 species
UGACCUCGGAUCAGGUAGGGAUACCCGCUGA